UUUAUAUGUUUUACCGUUUUUUCACGGACAUUUACUUUUAUACAGUGGACUCUAAUUAUUUACAUUCAGCACCAAAUUAGUUUUCUUUUUAGACCUAACUUUUAUAUUCUUUUCUUUUCUACGAUUUUAUCUGUUUUCUCUCAUUUUCUGUUGUUUUUUUCUCUUCUCCUCGAUGGGGAAGACGAAACGGUAGUGGCGGCGGCGACAUGGUGAAAAUAGAACGGCGGAAACAGUUGAACGAUGGUGAGGCAAAACGGCAGCGGUAAUGGAGAAGGCAGAACAUCGGUUUCUUCUCUCUUCUCCAUGAUUUUCUGAACCGACCGACUCUUUCUCCACCGUCUAAGUUGUUGUCGGCUGCACAUACUCCGAGAAUUGAUGCUCCAGCGCAUGUGCCUGUUCAAGCUCCUACAUAUCACUUACAAUGUCGUCGCCGUCUUCACCAUCGUUUGUUUCUGCCCCGUUUCGCUUCACCGUCGUUCUGUUUUCGCCGCCGAUCUGCUUCACCAUCAUCCUGUCUUCGCCGCCGAUUCGCUGCAACAGUUGUACUGCCUUCACCAUUGUUCUAGUGCACAGCCACCAUUACGCUGCCUUCACCCUUGUUUGAAUUGACUGGCAAUCCCAGUACAGAAACUUCUGUUGCAAUAUUUGCACAGCAAAUGUCUUUGCUUUGCUGCUACUGCACCCUUCUUGUUACUCUCAUCGCUAGUUGAUGAUUCCAAAAUACCAAAAUGGCCCAGCAGAUUAAGCUCUAGGUUGUCGUUACUUGAGAGGCUAGGAUCAAGUAAACAAUCAUUUGCCUUGAUGCCUUGGUUCUUGUCUUGAUCAACAUCUGACAAUUUUAAUAUUUUGACCUACAUGGAGCAGGGGUACUACUGAUACACAAUUUAUGUACAAUUCAAAUAAUGAAUUUUGCAUCUUAUCAUACAUAGAAGAAAAUCUACAAUGAAAUAUGCAUAUUCAUUGAAAUGGUAAGAUUGGUAAACAUAAGUUUCGCUUCAUGAGUGCAAUCCAAAGUAGUAUUCAGCCAUACUUGUGAAAAUAUGCCAACUUACAACUAAGCCUCUGUUGUACCAUCAUUUUAUACUUAGUUACCAAAUACAUUUUAAUGCAUACUUAUAUUGUCAAA